CAGGAGCCAGUUCAGUUUAAUCAUUUUACAUUACAUUUAUCUUUGCCUUUUAACCCAUGAAAUUUUAAUUUUCUUUAAAUUAGGCUACUUGAGUGAAACUCGGUCCCAUUGUCUGUCAAACAAACAACGGUAGCACUUAAAUGGAAAUCCCUUAACUCCCCUCGAGCUGCUUGAACGGUUCAGGAAAUGAUCUGGCGAGGAGUAGUGACGUUACAUUACGUGUUUUAAUGAAGAACAGCUUGAUGCGCAGUUCACACGGCAGAGAGCGAGAGGGGAAGGCAGCAGAUGGUUCAAAAAAGCUGCACUUGGGGAAAGGCUUUUUGAACAAUAAAUAAAACAAAACAGCCUGAAAUUACUCGGAACCAUCAAAUAGAAGCGUGUUUCUCACGACUGCGUCGUAUGUUGUUGGAAACAUCUUCAAUCUUCAGCUUCAAGGAGACAGAAAGAGAGACGCUGCAGAUAACCGAAGCUUUCAACAUUUGGCAUCUACUUCAGAAGUCAUGGUGGCAGCAGUACUCAAGAUCUACUUCAUUGGAACUGCACUGAGUGUCCUCGCAGUCUUUUAUGGAAUAAUGGACUCCUUUGGUGGUCUCAUGUACGUCCAGGAUCAUCACUAUGUUUUGGAUCUUGACCACCACACACAGAGACAGAUCUCCGCAACUAACCAGCAGAGAGGAUCAUCUGUGACCAAAAACAUCGGCUCGUGAGGGAGGCACACAAGCAUGGCUGCUGGAUGGACAUGCAGGGUACAGUAGCAAUGGAUGACACAUGAUAACAGGACUGAUAAUUACACUGGUCUGUCUAACUUGCUGGACAUGUUUGGCAGAGGUAAAGUCUCUGUUCUUGAACCACAGCAUGUCUUUGUUCAGCUUUGUCCCGUGUCAGUCAUUGUAGCAGCUACGUUUUCACCAAGCAACUGUGUGAUGAGAAAUGUGACAGCACUACUGAUCAACAAAUUUGCACUAAGAUUAAGAUGUUUUCCAUUUUUCUGUGUUUGUAUUAUUUUUUUAUUAAAGAAAUCCUGUUAAAAUGA